CAUUAUCUUCCUUCUUCCCCAUUUUUUCCUCCCUCCUCUCUCUUCAUUGGAAUACCUCUCCCUUUCUCUCUCCUCUUUUUCUGCCGGAGAUCACCGCCUGCGAUAGCCGCCGAUACCAUUUCUAAUCCCAGAUCCGUCAAUAAAUUUCAGAUUCCGGCCAGAACCCCUCUCGAUCCAUUUUCAGCCCAGAGCCUGAGAAUCUCCAGUUCCUUCCCUAUAACAAUUUUCUAAAUUUUUCUGAUAUUUGUUGUAUUUUUUAGAAUAAAUUUUGGUAUUUACUUUUGUGCCCUUUUCUCCCAGUCGCAUUUACAUCUGUUUUAAUAGUCCAGCAAUUUUUGUAUCCCUUUUGGCCGUUUCUUUUGCUCUCGUCUCAUUUUCAUGUCCAUUUUACCCCCCACUGAGUACAACAAAUUAUUCGUUUUGUUCGUUUUUGUUUCCCUCGUUUUCAUAUGACCAUUUUACCCCCACU
rnacentral:lncRNA from 1 species